rnacentral:rRNA from 1 species
CCUACGGGAGGCAGCAGUGGGGAAUAUUGCACAAUGGGGGGAACCCUGAUGCCGCGACGCCGCGUGAGUGAAGAAGUAUUUCGGUAUGUAAAGCUCUAUCAGCAGGGAAGAAAAUGACGGUACCUGACUAAGAAGCCCCGGCUAACUACGUGCCAGCAGCCGCGGUAAUACGUAGGGGGCAAGCGUUAUCCGGAUUUACUGGGUGUAAAGGGAGCGUAGACGGCAGAGCAAGUCGGAAGUGAAAGCCCGGGGCCCAACUGCGGGACUGCUUUGGAAACUGCCCGGCUAGAGUGCUGGAGAGGUAAGCGGAAUUCCUAGUGUAGCGGUGAAAUGCGUAGAUAUUAGGAGGAACACCAGUGGCGAAGGCGGCUUACUGGACAGUAACUGACGUUGAGGCUCGAAAGCGUGGGGAGCAAACAGGAUUAGAUACCCUUGUAGUC